GGGGACAUAGCUCAGCUGGUAGAGCGCCUGCUUUGCAAGCAGGAUGUCGGGGGUUCGAGUCCCCCUGUCUCCA
rnacentral:tRNA from 1 species